rnacentral:lncRNA from 1 species
AUGAUCACUCAGCUAAGCAUGCCCCUCCUUAAUGUCAAUAUGCCUUGUCGAUUGCUGUUCUGGUUAGUGUUUAUUGGCUUAUUUCACUGUAGAGCCUCUAGCCCUGCUCAUUAUACCUUAUCCAACCCUUCAGUUCCACCACCCACACAUGCGAUGACAUCACCUGGUUUCAAUUAUGUUUCUAGAGACAAUAUCUCUUUCAUCGUCACUCAAUGCCUAGGUUUACCUCCACUGUAUUCACAUCCUACCAUACCUUUGUCUGUACAAUAUACCAUAAAUCUAUUUUAUCACCCCCAGAAACCUGCUCCUUUUACUCUUUGUUCCGGACGUCCUAGAUGUCCAAUUCUCAUGACUUUUAGCCAUACCCUCAACCUACUCCUCCUCUGUUCCUCUGGCUAUGUAGAGGUGAAUCCAGGUCCUGCAGUGCCUAGCUCCACUCCUAUUCCCCAGGCGUUCUCUUUUGAUGACUUCUGUAACCGUAAAAGCCUUGGUUUCAUGCAUGUUAACAUUAGAAGCCUCCUCCCUAAGUUUGUUUUAUUCACUGCUUUAGCACACUCUGCCAACGCGGAUGUCUUAGUCGUGUCUGAAUCCUGGCUGAGGAAGACCACCAAUAACUCUGAAAUCUCCAUCCCUAACUACAACAUUUUCAAACAAGAUAGAACGGCCAAAGGGGGCGGUGUUGCAAUCUACUGCAGAGAUAGCCUGCAGAGUUCUGUCCUACUAUCCAGGUCUGUACCCAAACAAUUUGAACUUCUACUUUUAAAAAUCCACCUCUCUACAAACAAGUCUCUCACCGUUGCCGCCUGCUAUAGACAACCCUCUGCCCCCAGCUGUGCUCUGGAUACCAUAUGGGAACUGAUUGCCCCCCAUCUAUCUUCAGAGCUUGUGCUGCUAGGUGACCUAAACUGUGACAUGCUUAACACACCGGCCAUCCUACAAUCUAAGCUUGAUGCCCUCAAUCUCACACAAAUGACCAAUGAACCUACCAGGUACAACCCCAAAGCCGUAAACACGGGCACCCUCAUAGAUAUCAUCCUAACCAACUUGCCCUCUAAAUACACCUCUGCGGUUUUCAACCAAGAUCUCAGCGAUCACUGCCUUCAGCGAGCAGGCCUUUCUAUUCGACCUGGCCAGGGUAUCCUGGAAGGAUAUCAAUCUCAUCCCGUCAGUAGAGGAUGCCUGGUUAUUUUGUUUAAAUGCCUUCCUCACCAUCUUAAAUAA